rnacentral:lncRNA from 1 species
CCGCGGGUCCGAGAUUUUCCUCGCUGAGUUGACGACCUAUUGGUGACCUUCGGCUGUUGUCUGCUCUUUGGUCGAGUUGUUGUCUCUUUGACAUAUUUCCUAUUUCCAUCUUCAAUUCUACAUAUCAUAACUCAAGUUAUUGUUUGGAACAAGAAGUAUGCUUGUGUUUAGCCCAUAAUUCCUACAGUUUAAACAUUAACCAUGUUAACCACUAAACUCAAUCCCAACAUUCUUUUGUGG